ACGGGGUGCAGCAGGCGCGAAAACUACGCAAUGCGCGAAAGCGUGACGUGGGAACUCCAAGUGCCUUGCCUUAGGGUAAGGCUUUUGUUUAGUGUAACUAGUUAAACGAAUAAGUGCUGGGUAAGACCGGUGCCAGCCGCCGCGGUAACACCGGCAGCGCAAGUGGUGACCGCUUUUAUUGGGCCUAAAGCGUUCGUAGCCGGUUUGGUAAGUCUUUGGGUAAAUCCUUCGGCUUAACCGAAGGACUUCCGAAGAUACUGCCAGACUUGGAGUUGAGAGAAGUCAGAGGUACCUCUGGGGUAGGGGUGAAAUCCUAUAAUCCUGGGGGGACCACCAGUGGCGAAGGCGUCUGACUAGAGCAAGCUCGACGGUGAGGGACGAAAGCCAGGGGCGCGAACGGGAUUAGAUACCCCGGUAGUCCUGGCCGUAAACGCUGCGCGCUAGGUGUUGCAUGCUCUACGAGGGCGUGCAGUGCCGAAGAGAAGUUGAUAAGCGUGCCGCCUGGGAAGUAUACCGCAAG
rnacentral:rRNA from 1 species